rnacentral:tRNA from 1 species
CAAAUUAAAGCUUGUAGAGCGUUUUAUUUACAUUAAAAAGAAUACUAUUUGGUGUUUAGUAUAAUUUGA